CAGGGAUCACUCUAAGCUCCAGUGUCAAGGAGUCAAGUCCUUCAGGAAUUCUCUGCCUCCACUCCCUGUGGCAGAGCUAGAGUGGCUGCCAUGCUUCUGAGCUCAGCCAGCAUCCAGAGAGAGAGUGAGAUACAGCCUCCUCUUCUUGAAGCACCCACUUCUAAACUCUGUGACAGUUUUCUUGGAACUCUGUUAUGUGGAUCUGGAGAUGACAAUGUCACAGCACUCCCCUCUAAGCCUAAAUUCCCCCACACCGAUGAACUAUUAGGAUCCAGUAUCUGCCGGAGGAGCCCCACCUUCUGCUACUAUUAUGUUCUUCAGAUGAGUAGAAGAGAGUGGGGAGGGAGAGAGCAGGAAGAAGAAAGGAAGAAUAAUGUCUUGAAAUUGGUAAAAGCGUUUUUGUUUGCACAUCCUGCAUUAUUAAUAUUUCUUGUUUAGCAUAAUUAGCUACCCUCUCAAGCUUACACACAACCUGCAGUGUUUAUGCCUUCCGAUGAUAGCUAAACCAUCAGCAAAGCAGUCCAGGUCCCUGAAGGCUGAAUGCAGGUGGUUCUGAAGGCUGCAGGAUGCAUUCAAAAAGCAGGAUACAUAAGCUUUAAUUGUUGCUAAAAAUACAUUCACUAGAAGAAUCGGACUCCUUCUAUCUGUCUGGAGUGGAUAAAAGCCAACUAUGGAUUCAGUAGUCUAAAGAAAGUCGCAGAAGAACAAAGAAAAGAUGAUGCAUAUCAUAAAUUAUUACUCACCCCAUGUUCCCACCCUCGAGAGACCUCCAAACAAUCACCAUGCCACAGUGAACAUUCAGUAACAAAAAUUCAGCCAGGGUUUUCACCAGCAUGAAUGGCAGUGAUUCCAAUCAGGAAAACAGAAAGAGGAGAGUUCAGAGCCACCUAGAAUGGCUCUUGCAAGAUACGAAAUCAAGGCAGCAGCAACAGGGCUGAACAUUCCUCAUCCCUAACUCUCCCUUCACCAGUAGGAAACCCAGGAUAACUGCAAUCACCGCAGGCCCAUCUGGCCUGAAGUUCUACUACUAGUAGCCCUCCAUGGGACCUUCUUAAGGAAGCAUGUCAACUCAGGUAAGGGAUGUAAGGGGAUGGAUGACCCUUUGAGGCCAAAGUUGGAGCAAAAAACACCAGAUGUUCCUGUGCACUGCUCCUAAGAGAUGGUUCUGAAGACCAGUUCGGGGAGAGGUCAAAAUACUGGACAGAAUCUCAGCAACAUGGAACCUCAAACUAAGUGACAGUCACAGACAACUCUUCCCCAAAGAAAAUAA
rnacentral:lncRNA from 1 species